rnacentral:tRNA from 1 species
GCUAUUUUAGUUUAAUUAGAAUAUCAAUUUUGUAAUUUGGAGGUUUUAGUAGUG